AUUGUUGAGGACGGCAGCAUUACGGACCUUUCAGAAUCGAAGCCUCCACUCCUCCAAAUCCGAUAUAAUUACAGAAUUACUCGUCUGCAGCUUUGCCCGGACAUUAUGAGGGAGUCCGGCUCGACGUCUUCCCUCGUUUUCUCUCGCCCUUCGCCGCUUUGCUGCCCCCGAGAGCGAAGAGGGCUUCGUCAAGGGCUCCUCUAUCUCUCUACCGCUCCUCUUCCUCCUCCUCCGGUCGCGCCACGUAUCAGGUCGCUAGCGUGGUCAUACGAUCGCAAGGAGGGACACGAAGACAGAGUUAAGAGGGGAUUCGGUGAGGCAUGCAGUCGGAUAGGAUGGUAAUUAGCUUGAGGCCUGGAGUCGGCGCCGGAAACUGCCCCCCAUGGUUCGACUCCGCAUCCUCUGGCUGCGACUCCACAAUCGGCUCCUUCUCCGUUCUCCCCAUCCUUCACCCCGCCGGCGCCGCCCUCCCUCUUAAGUCUCACUGAAAAAGAGCGGGUGCUGAAAACUGUAAAAGGUUAAUUAUCCUUAACUCUUUAGUCCAGCAGAAUAUGUUGAUGACAUGUAUUAUUUGAAUUCUCUUGGAAACUUUUCAUUUUUGGUGAUGAUUCAUUGCAGUAUAUUGAACAAGCUGACACAAGAAAAUUUUGAUGUUCUCAAAGGCCAACUGAUCGAUGCUGGAAUUACCACACCUACGCUGCAGGAUGUCAUUACUCUCAUUUUUGAGAAAGCAGUCUUCAAGCCAACAUUCUGUCCCAUGUAUGCGCAACUUUGUUCUGAUCUCAAUGAAAACCUACCUCUAUUCCCCUCUGAAGAAGAAGGUGGGAAGGAAAUUACUUUCAAGUGCAUACUCUUAAAUAAUUGCUAUGAGGCAUUUGAACAUGAUGGAGACCUGAGUGCUGAAGUGCAAAAGCUCAUUGGGCCUGACUAAGAAAUGGAUUGUAAGGAUAAAGAGAGAAUGGUGAAACUCCAUACUCUUGGUAACAUUCGUCUCAUCGGCAAGCUUUUAAAGCAGAAGAUGGUGCCAGAGAAGAUUGUUCAUCAUAUCGCGCAGGAGCUAUUGGGGCAUGAUAACAGGACCUGUCCUGCUGUGGAAAAUGAUGAAGCAAUCUGCCAAUUAUUCAACACCACAGGGAAGCAGUUGGAUGAGAGUCCCAGCUCUCAUUGUUUCAAUGAUGCCUAUUUUGACUGGCUCAAGGAGCCAACUAUUAAUCCUCAACUUGCACCACACCUAAGAUUUAUGGUUUGUGUUGUGCUUGGCCUACAGAAAAAUAACUGGAUUCCUCGCAGUGAAGAGGUGAAGGCCAAAACCAUUAGUAAAAUCCAUAUUGAGGCAGAAAAGAAUCUUGGGUUGCACCCUGGUGCAACUGCAAGGAUGAGAAAUAGUCAUGAUAUUGGUGGUCUAGGGGGUCUCAGUGCUAUCAACAGACCUGGAACUUGUGGUAUGAUGCCUGGGAUGCCUGUAACAAGAAAAAUGCCUGGAACGCCUGGAUUAGAUGGAGAUUUUCUAGGGAGUUCCACGGAGCAAAUCUAUGCCCAGGAGUGAAGCUAAAUGUGUCCAUACUCCAUAGUUCUUCAGUGGCUAAGUCAAUGUCCAUCAACUCAAAGUUCUUACCUCAAGGUAGUUGUGUCCUGAUUGCUGGUAAGACUAGUGUGUUGUUGCAGGACAGUGGGCCACCAGCUCUUUCUCUGCUCUUGUUUCCGGCACAGGAGACUCUCCAUCUCAAAACUUAAGGCUCAUGAGGCUUGUUGGUCAAAUGCCCCAACCUAAAUCCAUGGAGAAGUCAGUGGCAACACCCAAAUUUAAUACUAGUGAGCUACAUAAGAAGAUGAUUGCUCUUCCGGAAGAGUAUUUUCACAUCCGCCUUCUAGAUGAAGCACUUCAAUGUGUAGGGGAACUGAAGAGUCCAGAAUACCAUCCAGAGGUGGCUAAGGAGGCUAUCAAUCUAGCUGUGGACAAGGGCCUCUCAUGGCUCAAAUCCAUCAUAAAGCUUUUGGAGUAUUCAUUGACUAAAAAGGUUUUUGCCCCAAGGGACUUGGGGACAGGUUGUUUGCUUCAUGGGGCAUUGCUGGAUGACAUAUGCAUUGACUUGCCAAAGGCACUUUCUUAUAUGGCGAAGUGGCCGGUGAACUAAUUCUUGCCAGUGUAGUUGAUCUGAAGGUGGUGGAGAAAUUUUUCAGGAAGGUAGAAGAUGCCAGUUUCCAGUCGGCAGUAUCUGAUGCUGUGAUGGGAAUUGUUGCGGCCGAAAUCAAGGCUUGCGAGGAACUUUUGCAUUGAAUUCGUUUUACUGUCUUCUGCUAAGGUUAAUCUCUUCUAUAUUCUGUAUGGAAAUAAGAUUUUUGGUGCCAUUUCUUUUCCCUGCUCCUUCCACUGUGUUCAGGUUUUUUAUAUGAGAUUAGGAAUUUUACAGCAGCAAUUAAGUCUAUGACUUGUAGAUUGUUGCAAAAUUGUGUGUAUCUUUAUUAGUGACUGUAGAGGAAAGAACAAAUGCCAUGGUGUUGAGCCAUGGGUAAUUUUGCCCGAGCUUUGAAGAUAAUAAAGGUAUAAUGUUUCUUUUUACCUUCAUUUAUCAAAGAUUUUUUCUUCAGUUCAUUGGAAGAAUGUUCUUUUUUGGUAUCUCUAAUAUUGUGAGACUGUAGAUGAACAUAACAGUGGUAUAUCAACACAGAAUCCUGUUUCUAUAUGCUCUAUCAUCAACACAAAUUGAGCAUGGAGUAUGGCAUCCCAUGUGAAGAACUCCAUCCGCAAGAGCUGAAGACUGACCACCAACGUGCAGAAAAGAUAAGUGAUCCAUCUAUUUUUCCUGUGUUCUUUCCGUUUUGUUAACGCAGUUGUUGCUGUGACAUUUCCAGACUUUGGACUUUCAGAGAACACAUUUGUUCAAACGAUGCAAAGUAAAUAGUCUGCUUAUAUGACCAGCUUGCCAAAGUUUGGCUAUUCAAUCAUCUUUAUUCUGCCUUGAAAAACCGGAUCAAUGUUCUUCCAGAUAGACAAAGAUGCUUUAGAAUCAAUGUCGCCUUUUUCCUCAUCCUUUUCCCAUUCUACCUAUACCCGAUCUGAUGCCAUGGACCCGUUUCUCCUCCUUUUUCAGUGUUCUCAUGUUCUUAUACUAUUCUAUCACAGCAAGUCCUAUAAAGUCCCCUCAAUCUUCCCUACGAUCACUGUUACCAAAUAAACUCCCAGGAUGAAGCUUAAUCUUCUCCUGUGCUUUCUCCUCUUAUUCCUCAGAGCCAAGUGGGGUGUACCGACUACUACCAGCCAUGGUGCAAAAGACCAACCACUUCAAGGCCUGAAUGUGACCGUCGAGCCGAGGAGUGGUGGCAAUUCCGGAGGGGAGAAGAUGGAGUUUGAUGGUGUGAAACGGGUGGAGUACUCGAGGAAGAGCAGCUCCGGAGGCAAAGGAGGAGGGAGGACGAGUGGCGGCGGCUCGCAGUCGCUUCGUCAACCUCGUCCACAGAAGAGCAGUUCGCCGACGAUGCAACAGCCAUUUGGCUACUUCUCUCUCCUGCUUUACCUGUACCUUGCUUGAACUCAAGCACUUGCCUUGGAUCUUCAAGCAAUCUACCGUUGUGGGAAUCAACUAAGUGGUGUCUUUUAAAGGUUGACAUGCAUUUAUAUCACUUGUAACUCUUGGAACGAAUAUGCUGAGAAUAAAUCAAAUCUUCCCUUCUCAUAAUAACAGAGGGUGAGAUGAAGAGGGAGGAAUGAGCUGGAAA